CCUACGGGUGGCAGCAGUGGGGAAUAUUGCACAAUGGGGGAAACCCUGAUGCAGCGACGCCGCGUGAGUGAAGAAGUAUUUCGGUACGUAAAGCUCUAUCAGCAGGAAGGAAAAUGACGGUACCUAACUAAGAAGCACCGGCUAACUACGUGCCAGCAGCCGCGGUAAUACGAAGGGGGCAAGCGUUGUCCGGAUUCACUGGGUGUAAAGGGUGCGUAGGCGGCAACGCAAGUCUGGAGUGAAAUGCCGGGGCUCAACCCCGGAUCGGCAUUGGAUACUGUGUAGCUGGAGUGCAGGAGAGGUAAAGGGAAUUCCUGGUGUAGCGGUGAAAUGCGUAGAUAUCAGGAGGAACACCGGUGGCGAAGGCGGUUUACUGGACUGUAAUUGACGCUGAGGCUCGAAGGCGUGGGGAGCAAACGGGAUUAGAUACCCGUGUAGUC
rnacentral:rRNA from 1 species